ensembl:lncRNA
CUGGGAAAUGUAGGAAAGGAGAGAGUUGCCAUGUGAUCCCAGGAAGAGAGGACACAUAAGGCUGUCGCCCUCGGUAAGAUAACUCCUUAUAAGAAUAUAUAAAUUACUAGUUAUGGUUGAUAAUUAAGACUGAGCUAGCAAAUAAGAAAUCUUAGUCAUUGGCCAGCAGCAUUGUAACUAAUAUAAGACUCUGUGUGUUAUUUGGGGGCCCUGGAGUGGCGGCAGAACCCUGGCAGCUGGUGGAAACAGUUAUAGUUACGCUAGCCUUUACUAUAACCACAAAAAAUUACCCAUUCCCUGAGUGUUGACAAAGACCAAUAUCCCAUCAUUUAAACACAUGGAAAAAGUUCUGUACUCUAGGGACUAUAAAGCCAGCAGAGAGGGCCAAAGAGGCGAAGGUUUUAGAUAGUGGUCUAUGAUGAACGGGGGUCCUUCCCUUGUCCCCUGCUUCUCUGUGCCACAGAAGGGAUUGUACACGCAGCUGAUGAAGUUCCUUCCAUAUGCGCACCCUCGUUAUGACUGUUUUAUCUUUGGGUAUUUGAAGUGAGUUAAGAAGAGACAAUCUCCUACUCACUACAUUUGGAACAUAGACAUUUGUUGAUUAUUAGAAUAAUACCACAAAUUGUCAACAUGUGUUGGGAAAGUAGUUUGCUAUUUUUAUUUUUUCUGUUAAAACAUUUUUUUACUUUCUUUUUAUUUAUUCUAUGUGUCUUACAUCAUGUAUCUUGAUCCCAUUCAUUUCCCUGUCCCUUCAUAUCAGCCCCCACCCCCCUCUUAUGCCCCCUUGUAAUAAAACAAAAUUUAAGAGAAAAGGGGAAAAAUUAUAAAUCUCAUCAUGGAAGCUGCAGUGGUACAGAGAGUCACACAGUAAACCCCUUUGUCCAUACAACUUUAGUAUUUAUUCACUGCAAAAUGUGAUUGGUCUGGUUUGAGGCCUCUGUGGAGGUCCUGCAGCUUUGGGUCUGCAGGUCAGGUCCCUUCAGGUGCUCCAGCACAUCACAGGUGGGGAGGAUGUUUGAGUGGGCCAAGUCAUAAUCCUGGUUCUGGGCCUGGGCUGCUGUCUGGUUGAUCAGCCUGCCCGUCCUCCUGUUUUCUGCACCAGGAUGAGUUCUCCAGCGUUGCCCUGGCUAGCUCACCUCUUGCGGCAGCGAGCAAGGGGCUGGGGCCAUUUCUCCCGCUCUCAGCCUUGGCUCUUCCACACCUUCUGUGUGGCCCAGGUGAGGUAGAGGAGCCACUUUCCCAAGUGCUGCAGCUGAGGAGGAGCAGGGCCAGUUCUCCCCCGCCUAUGACCGCAGGGCCAGCUCCUCCAUCUGUCUCAGGCAUUGAUGGGCUGGGGUGAGGGCAUCUCUCUCCCACCCAAGCAGCCACAUGUCAGAUGGGGACAGCUCUCCUUGCUCACAGCAUCAGGGCUGGCUCACCCUCACCUGUGACCACUGGGCCAGCUUUCCUGAGUGCUGCAGUAGGUAAGGGACAAGGGCUAAUCGGUGAGCCUUUUUCCCCCUCUAACACUGCCACAAGACACAUUAGUGGGGACAGCUCGCCUUCACUUACAACUUUGGAGCUGGCUCACCCUCACCUCUGUCAACAGGGUUGGCUCUACUCUGUUGCCCAGCUGAGGUGCAGGGCCUGCUCUGGUGACCUCAGGGCCAGUUCUCCCACCUACCUCAGGCGUUGAGUGAUGGGGGGGGGGCAACUCUCCCCUGCCCAAUGCAUAGCUUGCUAAUUUUGCGUCACUGAAAUAGUUUUAAUUAUCUGGCCUUGGGCUAUUGUUAGUAAUUUAAAAGCUGUGUAAUGAGAAACCCAAAUGUUAUUAAACUCCAGGAGAAAAUGAAUGAGAUUGGUUAGGGAACCCUAGAUAGGUUAAUUUGCACCACUUGAAAAUGAGAAGAUGAAAUGGUGAGACUCAGAUGGACACCGACGUGAGGGAACGGAAGCAGUGGAUCUUUGUGUUGUAUUAGUUUCCUUUCAGAGGAAGACAAAUAGGCAUCUGCAGCAAACGAAGUGCAAUACCCUCCACCUUUGCCUGAAUUAGCCCGGGAACAUGUGUGAGAUUUGCAGGGCAACAAAUCAUGCACAGUAAGUCCUGCUUAGCUGUUCCCUUGUAUGCAACGGGUAAUUAUUUGCUUUCUCCUAUUAAAACUAUGUUUUGGAUUCCACAGGAAUAUCUGGACAUGUUUCCUAUCACUUCAAAAAACAAGUCCUGGAAACAUGGCGAUUCAAGCAAGUCCUGGGUCCCGCUUGUAGGUCUGCAAGUCACAAGUCCUGCUUGGGUCCAGCUGUAUUCUCUGUUUCUUAGAUUUUCAUCAGGCUGACCUCCAGGUGUCAGUCAGCUAGGGACUCCUCCCAGAGGCCACCCACAGUUUCUCCCCACAAAAUCUUCUCAAGGCCAACAGGAAAGUCUCUGCAGCUUGGUUGAAUCUCCCUUACCUCUCCAUGGUUCACUCUGGACCUCCUUUUAUGUGGUCCACCUAGUUAGAUCAGACUCAUGGAAGAUACGCAGCCUUUAACGUCCAGCUGGUUAACAGUCGCAGGCACUGAUUACUCUCGAGUAAACAAAGUAGGGUUUAAUUUAUUACCUACAACAGGCACCGUGACUGCAGGUAAUGGUGUGAAGGAGUUCUACGGGGCAGUUCAGCAGGGUGACAGAGAGGAGGUCUUGUGAAAGGGACAUCUGGGCUGAGACCAGAAAGAGGAGAAGGAAGAACAGUCUAGGUGGCAGCUAGUGUCCGAAACAAAUUCAAGAAUAGGUUGUCUUCCUAGGGAGAAUUUUUAAAAAAAUUUGUUUGUUCUAGCAUCUCUGGAUACCUGGUGUAUUCCAUGACUUCCAGAUGCAGAAGGUAGUAUCCUUGGCCGUCGACAAGGGCCCUCCAUGCCCCUCCCUUCCCUCAACUACAACUGGUAGGAUUGAUGGCACACGAAGUGUACUCUUGGAUCACUGCUAUGUUUGAGCAAUGCAUCACAACCAUUACCCAGCUGCAUGCACUAAAAUGCCUUUCCAUACAUGGGUGCGUGUUACCCUGGAAAACUGAAGGCUUUUAUUUCAAAUUGGUUUACUUUGAAGUUUUCUUUGGUGCACAUCCUACUAUGCCAUAAGAGAAGUCUAUUCCAGGUUGGGAUACUGCUCACAUUUGCAAGCAUUUCAGCACACUAAGCUGCAUUGACAGAAACUCAUGAACAUGCAAGUAGUGAAUUUUGUGUUUGUUUCCUUCCUGCCUAUCAAUGUCUUCCUUCUACUUGAUUAAUAAAUCGUUCAGCAAUACCUGAAAACCUACAUCAGGAAUGUGCUCAGCACCGUCUCACUUCCUUAUCCCUGGGAUGCUUUCAUUCAUCCAAGGCCUUUCCUCCCAUCCUCUGAACAAUCUGCUAGUUUUCCUACUAAUUUCCUGUUCAUAUUCUCUAGUUCUACAUAGCCACCAAAUCACCUUCCUGAAAACUGAAAAAAGAAACUUUUUUUUUCCUCCUGCAUGUCCUUUACAUUCCAGUGGAACAGAGUUGGCCAAGAGCAAAUAAACAAAUACCAAACUUAGAAAACCAACUACCAAACUUCCAGACAGAAGACAUGUGACAAGGAAUCAUAAAAAAAAAAAAAAAAGGAAAAGAGCCAAGAAUGGUGGCAUAAACUUUUAAUCCCAGCACUCGGGAGACAGAAGCAGGUGAAUCUCUGUGCGUUCAAGGUCAGCCUGGUCUACAGAGUGAGUUCCAGGACAGCCAGGGCAAUUAAACAGAGAAACCCUGUCUGAAAAGAAAAAACAAAAACAAAACAAGGCAGGCUAAGGACAGAGAGGGAGUGGUUUUAGAUACACUGGUGACAUGAAUGUUAUUAUCCCAGCUAAAAUCAAACCUGGUCAAAUACACUUGGGUUUAAUGUCUUGAGACACUGCAGUGACUCUUACUAGGAGAGCAUUGGGGAAGCUUCAGACUCUGGCUUGGAAGGUGAUUCUGAAAGCUAGUUAGAGGACAUCAGAAAGCAGAAGAGUCUCUGAAUGGGCAUUUUGACAUGUUCUAUGUAGAAGACAAGAACACUGUAAGUGGUCAGGACACAUGCUGUCUAGAGACGAGAACAGGGCAACACUGUCAUUGUAAAUGGCCAGAAAACAGGAGUCACUUACACUAGCUAAAAUGUUCUGCUUUGUGGUUUAGAAAACCCGAAUAUUAGAGUGUGUUAUGCCUGUCACCAUAAAGGCCAAUGGGCAGAGUUAGGAAUGAAAUGUUAAGUUGCACUUGGCUCAGAGUCAGCGAUCUGAGAGGGCAGCAGACACAUACCUUGGAAGAAAUACUGCCACAUCUCUCUGGCCAGCAGAUUACACAGGUGAAGGAUGGGGACACAGACAUUCAUUUAGGAAUCUUGUUUUGUCCCUCUUGACAGCCAGAUUUGAGCCUUGUGAUGUCGGUAUCUCUCAUUAUCACCCCUUGUGUUCUUCUCUCAUUUUAUGGGCAUCUGGCUCCAGACACUUUUUGAAAUACUCAAUUUUAUGUGUCUUGGGCAUCAACCUUGUACUCCUUCCUCUACAGGUCUCUGGGCUGGGGGCAGGGAUUAACUCAGAACAAGUCAUUAGCAGUGACUAAAAAGCUAGUAGAAGCAUGUGUGAGCAGAGUCCUUUCUACAAUAUUAGUUACAGAUGUGCCCUUGUAAUACAGAAUACAAGGUGCUUCUUUCUAUUCAUCCCUCCUGCCCACUACAAGUCUGGAGGACGCUCCUGUGUUUGACCUAUUCAGACAUGACUGUGGAGGGUUCUUUCCUUCACCUUCUCGUCACCAUGACCACAGCGGUCAUACCUGACAUUGAUGUUUGGUGACUGUUUAUGCCCAAGAGAAUAUGUGACUUAGCUGACAAUGCUAGGCCAGAUGCUGAUAGGACCAGCAAGAGAUAGCUGAAAGAGCCAGUCUCUUCUCUGUCUAUGCAGGAUUAUGGGUUUACCAGUUUUUCUUUAAUAAUCAGCUGCCAAAAUGGUCUCUAAGUAUAAUUUAUAACUCUUGCUCAUAGUUUUAUUUCUUGAAAAUUUAUCUAUACUACUCUUUAGGGUAGUGAGUUCCUACAGUUUCGGUGACUGUGUCAGUUACGUCUCCAUGGCUUUGAUAAAAACACCAUGAACGAUGCACACCCUAGAAGAGUUUAUUUGGGCUUACAGUCUCAGGAGGGUCAGAGUCCUGGAUGGCAAGGUGCAGGCAUGGCACCAAAGCUGGAAGCCAGGGGCUUAUAUGUUGAACAACAAGCUGGAAGCAGAGAGUGUAAACCGGAACUCUGCAAAGUUCUGAAAUCUCAAAGCCUGCCCCAUACCUCUUCCCUCAAGCUUCUAAGUCUGAAAUCUACCCACACAGCACCAGCUGGGGUCCAAGUAUUCAAAUGUUCGAAACUACGGGAGGCAUUUAUCAUUCAAACCACAGCAAUUCAGUGCCUCACACACCUAUUUUUAAGAGUGUCUGUAGCCUAGGCAUGCCUUCAACAGUAGCAAUUUCCUGCCUCAUCCUCCUCAGUGCUGGGAUUACAGGUGUGAACCCUGAGCUGGGGUGGAGUUAAGUGGUGAUGCCAAGCUUAGAGGAGUUUCUUUUUUAUUUUUUUGUCAAGAAGAUCUAAGUAGGUGGAGGGAGGUGGUGAGAGCAGACAGAAAAUUCCUUAACUACCCAACACAGAUAGUUAUCAUCAUAGGCAGAGUGCAACCACUAGACCAACGACAAUCUACAAUGCUGACUGGCUCAGGAAUUGCAAUAAAAUACCUACUGUAAAUUUCAGAAACUUCGAAAGCCUCAGACUCAUCUGCCCAACUCAUUUUUAAAAAUAGGAAGCUGGAGUUAGAGUACACAUGGACUCUGAUGGGUCUGCAUGAUGCCAGGACUAGCUAAAAUCAGGAAGACACUCUUGGGUUCUAACUCCACAGUGUGAUUCAACACAGUUGAGAUUCAUUCAUAUUCUAUUUUAAUUCAUGAGUAGUGUUGCACUGGAUGAAUAUUCCAACGUACUCAUUCUCCCACUGAGGGACAUCUGGGACACCCUCUAGGUUUUUGCUCUCCCACGAACAGUUGCAAUGAGCAUUUCUGCACAAGUCUCUUUGUAGACAGAGGGUUUUACUUCUCUUGGCUAACACAGCAUGUGGGGCUGAUGGGUCAAAGGGUUGGUCUGUGUUUGACAUGAAACGGACAGGGCUGUACCCUCCAACAGUUUUACAACAGCUUCUUUUGCUCAAAGAGUAGCCAAGCGGAGACAGCAAAGGAUCGGUAAGGCCUUAACUUGGCCUCUCACCAGGGAAGCUCUGGGGUCCUGGAGGACGCCCCUCCCCCAUCACCCACUAUGGCCAUGUGGGUGAUCUCUCUAGGGAAAAGGACAGCAGGCAGCGCAUUCGAUCGCAACAGUUGUCUGAAUCUCUUUGACAAAUCUUUGUCUCCCUGUUUCUUGAAAUUCCGCUUCAUUGCGCGCAAGCCCCGGAAGUGGGAUUUCUGAAUAUGAAGACUUGAAAGGGCGGUUUCUGAAAAAGAGACCAUGGCUUGCAAAAAUCUGGUGGUAUGUCUGGGUGGCGCCACGUCCCCAACCAUGUCCUUGGCAGCUCCUAAAGACACCCAGUUUUCUUGAGCCAGGUAGUGGGGUUGCAUUUAAUGGAAAGUAGAAAUUGCCAGAAACAGGAUGCACCCGCCUUCUUUCUAACCUUUAGUUUCCUUUCCGCCUCCUCCGGGGUCACAAGGAAGACAUUCCUCCUCAAGUCUCUCCUUCUCCUCUUCACUUCCACUGACCGGCCACUUUAUACUCGUUACUAUGGUUUGAAAUUUGCCAGUGCAAGAGUAUGGGUGCCACAUUGCUAAGAAGCAGGUCCUUUAAGAGGUGAUGAGGACAUUGGAGUUGUGCCCUCAGGAAAGGAGUGUCACCACAAGAGUGGGUCUCUCAUAAAAGCCACCGUCUCUUGCCCUGCCACUUAGCUGACACUACGUGAUGUCACUCCCCUUUCCAAAGCCCCCCAGAACCCAAAGCCAGAUAAACUACUGUUUAUAACCAGUCGAUAGCAUUGCUACAGCAGCAGAAGAGACUAAGGCAGCCUUCCCCACCUUCUCCCCUGUGAAAGCCAACCGCUCACUACCCUAUCAGCCCAGCAGCGGUGUAAUUUAAGAUUUCUACAGGGUCAACUUUGCCACCGAAGUCUGUCCUGUGGGCACCGCACUGACCUCCACAGAGUGGACGGACUGGGUUUCCAAGUGUCGACAGUAAGAGCGAGCUUGAAGCCCAGAAGGAGUCUGAGAAACCACCUUGCAGUGUGUGUGGGUAACUUCAUCCUGCGGCUGUGAGCAGUGAGCAACAGGUCCCUAGACGAAAGAGCAGGAGCGCUGGCGUGCCGCACCACCCUCCCGACAGACCGCACUGGCUCUCCACCGCUUCCCGAGGGGCCUCAGUUUCCCAGUCAGGGCUGAGGGGGGGGGUGCG